GACCUGGUGGUAUAAUGGGUAACACGACCACAUGUGAUUCCUUGCGGAAGUCCCCUGUUCGACUCAGGGCUGGGUCA